rnacentral:rRNA from 1 species
UAACGGCUCACCAUGGCGAUGAUGUCUAGGGGUUCUGAGAGGAAGGCCCCCCACACUGGGACUGAGACACGGCCCAGACUCCUACGGGAGGCAGCAGUGAGGAAUAUUGGACAAUGGAUGGAAAUCUGAUCCAGCCAUGCCGCGUGCAGGAAGACGGCCCUAUGGGUUGUAAACUGCUUUUAUACGGGAGCAAUAAGGUCUACGUGUAGACUGAUGAGAGUACCGUAUGAAUAAGCAUCGGCUAACUCCGUGCCAGCAGCCGCGGUAAUACGGAGGAUGCGAGCGUUAUCCGGAUUUAUUGGGUUUAAAGGGUGCGUAGGCGGCCUUGUAAGUCAGCGGUGAAAUUUUGCAGCUUAACUGUAAAAGUGCCGUUGAUACUGUGAGGCUAGGAUUUGGUUGCUGUGGGUGGAAUGUGUGGUGUAGCGGUGAAAUGCUUAGAGAUCACACAGAAUAUCGAUUGCGAAGGCAGCUCACAAAGCCAAGAUUGACGCUGAGGCACGAAAGUGUGGGGAUCAAACAGGAUUAGAUACCCUGGUAGUCCACACUGUAAACGAUGAUAACUCGCUGUUUUGCGAUAUACAGCACGGUGGCCAAGCGAAAGCGAUA